rnacentral:rRNA from 1 species
GUUAUAUGGUCAAGUGAAUAAGCGUGCGUGGUGGAUGCCUUGGCAGCAAGAGGCGAUGAAGGACGUGAUAGGCUGCGAUAUGCCUCGGGGAGCCGUCAAAUAGGCUUUGAUCCGGGGAUUUCCGAAUGGGGAAACCCACCCUUUUAGGGUAUCUUGCACUGAAUACAUAGGUGUAAGAAGCGAACCCAGGGAACUGAAACAUCUAAGUACCUGGAGGAAAAGAAAUCAAUUGAGAUUCCCUUAGUAGCGGCGAGCGAACGGGGAUUAGCCGAGCUGAUAUGUUGUAGUGGAACACUCUGGAAAGUGUGGCCACCGAUAGUGAACUAGUACCGUGAGGGAAAGGCGAAAAGAACCCCGGUGAGGGGAGUGAAAUAGAACCUGAAACCGCGUACGUACAAGCAGUAGGAGCCCUUCGGGGUGACUGCGUACCUUUUGUAUAAUGGGUCAGCGACUUAUUGUAGCUAGCAAGCUUAACCGUUUAGGGUAGGCGUAGGGAAACCGAGUCUUAAUAGGGCGUCAGUUGGUUGCAAUAGACCCGAAACCGGGCGAUCUAUCCAUGGCCAGGUUGAAGGUGCCGUAACAGGCACUGGAGGACCGAACCCACCUAUGUUGAAAAAUGGGGGGAUGAGCUGUGGAUCGGAGUGAAAGGCUAAUCAAGCCCGGAGAUAGCUGGUUCUCCUCGAAAACUAUUUAGGUAGUGCCUCGAGUUUGUCCCAUGGGGGUAGAGCACUGUUUCGGCUAGGGGGUCAUCCCGACUUACCAAACCGAUGCAAACUCCGAAUACCAUGGAGAUUUAUCUCGGGAGACACACGGCGGGUGCUAACGUCCGUCGUGGAAAGGGAAACAACCCAGACCAUCAGCUAAGGUCCCAAAUUCCAGUUAAGUGGGAAACGAUGUGGGAAGGCUUAGACAGCUAGGAGGUUGGC